GGGGGUGGUGCUGGGGAGGCAGGACGGGGUCGGGGGCGCUGUGCGCUGACAAAGGAGACUGUAGCUUGCGAAGAGCGAAAUGUGCUGCAGCGGGGGCGGAGAGGGCGAAUUUCUAAUUCCACCCACCGCACCCCGAGAGCACUGCGCCGGUUUUGCAGGCUUACUGGCUUUGGGCACAGACUUCCAGAGCUCCUGGGACAAGGUUGUCCGCAGAGAGAUGAUCACAGAGAGGCUGAGGGAGAACAGAACACAGGAAAAGCCUCGUGGAUCUCAAGAGCUCAUCAUGGAGGCCCCACAAGACCUGGCCUACACUGCCUAACACCACGGACCCCAGCCUCCAACCCGAUGUGGUACCCACAGAGGCCCCUUGUGCCUGUCGGCCUGUGGCGUGUGCAGUCCUUGACGAUGUCAGUGAGUGCUUGCGGAAGGCAAAAUCACCCACUAUCCCGCCAGGCCCUUCAACACUCCAGGUGAAUUCACCGUAAAUAGAGACGGCCAUCCUCAUCAAUGCCUGGCAGAUGCCCCGCUUUCUACAAGCAGCCCGGCACCUUACCCAACCUCUGUCUCAGGGAAAACGAGCAUGAUUUCCGGCUGCCCUUCUGCUUCCUUGGAAGCGAGGGACACUUAAACAUCCUAUUUCCCCACAGCAACAUGGCGGAGGCUUCAAGGGGACAACCCGACAUCAGAAGUCAAAAGGCAACCCCAAAAAGAUACCCAAGGAAUGAACGGCGGAGGGCAGUCCUGUCCACCACCUGCUUGUUAAACCCGUGAAGGAAAAGUCAACGUUGCCUUUUGUAAACUGCUGAUAGAAGAAACCCAAGUCAGAAGUAUCCUUGCGACAUGCCCACACCAGCCAGCCUCACUGAUGAAAGCGACCAACCCAAACAGGACCCGCAAACCACACAGGAGACCCAUCCCUUACACGAAUUCGUCUCAGUGAUCGAUCUGAUCAUGUGAUUUUUUGAGACAGCUCUUCAGGGAGACUUUAACUUCGGUUCGAACUGACCAAUAUAUUCCACGACUUGUAUCUACCAGGAACUUGGGGGCCAGAUUCUGAGCUACCAAGAGGAUUCUUAUCACUGGGAGCAAAAUAACUGAAAAUGUAAUCAAUGGUACCAAAAAGGGGUCUCCUUCUCUAAAAUACACACCUAUCCUGACCACCUGCAGCAUGUCCAAUAAAUUGCCCAAUAAAUUGGCAUUCUGGAUGAUAAA